AGCAGUCGCCGCGGGAAUACGUAGGGUGCGAGCGUUAAUCGGAAUUACUGGGCGUAAAGCGUGCGCAGGCGGUUCGUUAAGACAGAUGUGAAAUCCCCGGGCUUAACCUGGGAACUGCAUUUGUGACUGGCGAGCUAGAGUAUGGCAGAGGGGGGUAGAAUUCCACGUGUAGCAGUGAAAUGCGUAGAGAUGUGGAGGAAUACCGAUGGCGAAGGCAGCCCCCUGGGCCAAUACUGACGCUCAUGCACGAAAGCGUGGGGAGCAAACAGGAUUAGAUACCCCUGUAGUCCCUGUCUCUUAUAC
rnacentral:rRNA from 1 species